UCAGCCAGGGAAGCUAGUUUUUUCUUCCACAUGGUGCUCGGAUCUACAACAAACUCAUGGACUUCAUUCGAAAUCAAUAUAGGGAUAGGGGCUAUCAAGAGGUUAUGUCCCCAAAUGUAUUCAACAUGGAUAUGUGGAUGCAAUCUGGUCAUGCAAAACAUCAUAAAGAGGAUAUGUUUGUCUUAGAGAUUGACAAACAUGAGUUUGGUUUGAAACCAAUGAAUUGCCCAGGGCACUGCUUGAUGUUUAAGCACAGGGUUCGGUCGUACAGAG